CCCUUUUUUUUUCUUAUCUCUUUUGAUCUUCACUUGGAACCAUACCCUUCACCAUUCUUAAAGUCUCAGACUUUGAUAAGUAAUUCAAGUUUUAGUAUAAGAGUUGACUUGAUUUAGUAAAAUCAAUCCCAGUUCCCCUUCUAGGGGUUGGUUUGUGUGUUUCAUAGUAUUACUGUAACUCGUUGUUAGUUUGUGAGUCUUCUUGUGUGUUAAAAAGGCAAUGGCAUCUUGUCUGAUGAUUGAUACUAUUAUUGUAAUUCGUUGUGAGUUUGGAGUCUUCUUGUGUGUAAAAAAAGCAAUGGGUUCUUGUCUGGUGAUUGAUAUUUGAUAAUUUAAUAAGUUGUCUGUUUCUUCUUCUUGGUUUGGUCUGUGCUAUUGAAUACUAUUACUGUAACUGUUGUUAGUUCAUAGUUUUAUUGAGUGCAGGAAAGGCAAGGGCUUCUUGUUUGGUGAUUUAUAAUCUGGAAGUUGUCUGUUUCUUUCUGCUAAAGAAUAUCAUUUUAGUACAAUUGCUUAUCUUUCUAAUUCCCAAUUCCAUCUCCAUCCCCAUCGUCUGCCUCUCCGUCAUGUCUCUCGGGGCCGUCAUCACCACCGCGGAGGCGCAGGAGAUUCUGUGGAUACGAUGAAGGAGAGUCGGAGAUACGGUGCGGCCGGGAUGUUGGCAGAUUCAUGAUUAUCAUAAUAAUCACCGAGAGAUUCCUAUCGUUAAUUCAUUCCCUUGAGUUGAUGAAUAAUGAAAGUGUAUUCACAAGAUCAAAUGUUCUUUCUCAGGUUCUUUCUUCUUUCUCAAGUUUUUUCAAUUUUUUUUUUUAAGAACCUACUUAAAAAACUUGCAAUGGAGGACACAAAUUUAGGUGUCUCUUAACUAAAGGUUUUAACACAAAUUUAUUACUAAACAAUUGAUUAAGAGACCCUAAUGGGUUCUAGGGAUAAAGAUGCUCUUAGGUAUUUAAGCUUCCAUAUUACGUGUGGGCCUUCUCUUGUCGACACACUUAUCACACUACUAACAGUGCACCUAAUGACCUGAAAAGUCAAACUCAUACAUCAUUAGUUUUUUGUUAAUCAUUUAAUUUGUAUUUAUCUAUUACACAAUUUCAAUUUGGUCAUUGAUUACAUUUGAUCCUCUUUACCCUCCACUUUGAAAGUCUAUGAUCUAAUUCAAAUUAAAGUAUGUAUAUAUAAUAUUUCAAUUAUGUAUAUUUUAAUAUGCAUAUAUUUUCAUUUUGGCUCUUCGAAUGUUCGAAUAUCUUUAGACGUGUGUGACGCGGAAGGGGAGCGGAAACAAAAAGAGGUGUGAAUAAACAGGAAAAACACAUUAUAAAUUUAUAAUAGUUGGCCACUUUGUUCAUAUUUAACAUGUGGUAAGACAUUUCAAUCUCAUACCUAAAAGUGACCAACCUGUGUUACCUUCAUUUUAAAUCUCAACCACAAAACCAAACAGAAUCAAGAGUUGUUGAUUAGUCGUAGUAUAUGUAAUACUCGACUCGGUUCAUACUUCAUAGUCGUUAUCCUUACAAAAAAAUGAAAACCAUAUCUAUCAUCAGAUAAUGUUUUGUGAAUAAUAUUAUAAACGUAAAGGCCACAAACUAUUGUACUAUUUAUAUAUAUAUAGAGAGAGAGAGACCCAAAACAUCACUAGAGAGAAAAGAAAUCCAUGCGCAUAAGCAAACUCUGUUACAUGAACCACCAGACAGACAUAAAGGGAGACAAAAUAUGGAACCCAAAAUAGAAUGUUUUGGUGCAGCUCCACAAUGACGAUAA